rnacentral:rRNA from 1 species
UACAGAGGUGCCAAGCGUUAGGCGGAAUCACUGGGCUUAAAGCGCGUGUAGGCGGGUCGUUAAGUGUCCGAGUGAAAUCCCACGGCUCAACCGUGGAACUGCCGGGCAUACUGGCGAUCUUGAGGCAUUCAGGGGCGAGCGGAACAAAUGGUGGAGCGGUGAAAUGCGUAGAUAUCCAGUGGAACUCCGGUGGCGAAGGCGGCACGCUGGACCCUUCUGACGCUGAGGCGCGAAAGCCAGGGGAGCAAACGGG